UAGAUACCCCGGUAGUCCACGCCCUAAACGAUGUUCACUAGUCGUCGGGAUGCUAGUCAUCUCGGUGAUGCACUUAACAGAUUAAGUGAACCGCCUGGGGAGUACGGUCGCAAGAUUAAAACUCAAAGGAAUAGACGGGGACCCGCACAAGUGGUGGAGCAUGUGGUUUAAUUCGAAGAUACGCGAAGAACCUUACCUAGCCUUGACAUUGAUUGAACGGACCAGAGAUGGACCGGUGCCCUUCGGGGAACAUGAAAACAGGUGCUGCACGGCUGUCGUCAGCUCGUGUCGUGAGAUGUUGGGUUAAGUCCCGCAACGAGCGCAACCCUCGUCCUUAGUUGCUAGCAGGUUAAGCUGGGCACUCUAAGGAGACUGCCUUCGUAAGGAGGAGGAAGGUGAGGACGACGUCAAGUCAUCAUGGCCCUUAUGGCUAGGGCUACACACGUGCUACAAUGGGGCGUACAGAGAGUUGCGAUACCGCGAGGUGGAGCCAAUCUCAUAAAGCGUCUCUCAGUUCGGAUAGAAGUCUGCAACUCGACUUCUUGAAGCUGGAAUCACUAGUAAUCGUAGAUCAGCAAUGCUACGGUGAAUACGUUCCCGGGUCUUGUACUCACCGCCCGUCACACCAUGGGAAUUGAAUUCAUUCGAAGCGGGGAUGCUAAAAUAGCUACCUUCCACAGUGGAUUUAGUAACUAGGGUGAAGUCGUAACAAGGUA
rnacentral:rRNA from 1 species